rnacentral:rRNA from 1 species
AAACCUGCCGCAUGCACGGGGGAUACCGGCUGGAAACAGCCGCUAAUACCGCAUAUGCGCACAGCGCCGCAUGGCGCAGUGCGGAAAGGGAGCAAUCCCGGCAUGCGAUGGGUCCGCGUCCGAUUAGCUUGUUGGCGGGGCAGCGGCCCACCAAGGCGACGAUCGGUAGCCGGCCUGAGAGGGCGGACGGCCACAUUGGGACUGAGACACGGCCCAGACUCCUACGGAAGGCAGCAG